GAGAAAAAUGCGCAUUCAGAAGUGGGCUGCCAUCCUGCUUUUUCUGAAGUGAACAGCUGCUGGGUAUUGAAACCAGCCCUCACGGUUGGGUCCCUGCCACCAUGGCAACACUCUGGUUUCUGAGCUGGAGUGGCCAAGGCACAAUGGGGUGGUUCCAUGGCCCAGAAGCACUCUAGCUACAGAUUAGUUUAUUUCAGGACUAUAUUAAGUUUCCCAACUUCUGUCAUGAUAUAGUCCAAAGAGAACCUGGACCACGCAGACAUCAAACAGAACAUGACACUGACCCAUUCUAUCAGUGACGUUGUGCUGAUUGCACAGGACAGAUGAGAGGCUCGUAUACUAGAAGUCUUGGUGGUUAUCAAACCUGGGUCAAAGUUGAAUCACCUGAGGAUCUUUUAGAACAUACACAGUCAUAUGAUACUUCAAAAUCUGUGAUUCCAUGAAGCCAAGAGUAGCUCUUCAACAGGAAAUGAAUGAGUGCUUCAGCUUCUGAUCCCAUUAGUAAGAAAAUACAGUCUUAUGAGCAAUGAUGGAGCUGCAUCUCUUAGGGGCAUUUGAUUCCCAAGAGACCAAAGAGCAAAGAGAAUGUCAAUUUAAAAAAAUCAAAUGUUUCCAUGACUUAGCUAUUUAACUGCUUUAAAAUGAAUGAAUGCUGCUUCAAGUUCUUUCAAAUACCCCACAUCUUGGCAACAACGAAAGGAAUUAACAUGAAGAAAAUUUACAAUCUUUCAUCACAUCGAACAAUGUCCCACAUUUGAAAAGUUCACAGCACAGAUUUCUGGUUACUGAAAGAAAGGAAAGACCUUCUUUGGAUUUGAAUAAACAGAUGGACUUUCUUCUCCUUUUUCUUAUAGUGCCCGAUUUGUGUAAAGGGAGGUGGGAAGAAAACAUCUUAGCUUAAAAGAGUGUCCUAUAAAAUAAAAGGUUUCAUACUUGCCUAUAGCUAAUCUCUGAAGGUGGUUACAAAAGAGGAUUUCUGAAACAUUUUAUAUGCAAUGGCCCAGACAUUUGCAUAAGUGGUCAAACUUUCAAGAUGACAACUUAAAAAUAUAAUACUCCUUUUGGACAAGCUUGUUUUUAAAAUAGCAGCAUCAUUAACUUUGGCAAAUCCAAUUCUUAAAUAUCCUUUAAAAUAGUUGAUAAAAGAAAGAAGGUAUCAGAACUAUAUAAUGGUUGCACUGCAUUUUUUAAAACCUCUUAUUUUGAAAUAAUUUUAGAAUCACAGAAAGUUGCAAAUAUAGUAUAAGGAGUCCCAUGUGCCCUACAUGAUGACAUCUUAUAAAGGGAUAGUAUAAUAUCAAAACCAAGAAAUUGACAUUGG
rnacentral:lncRNA from 10 species